ACGCUUCUCCACGUUGACUUGCCCAGUCAACGGAUUCGAAUUGGUUUACCUGCACGCUCAUUCUCUCUCCCUCAAUCUCACCGUUUAUUUACCAUAAACCACCGCGCCGGUGAAUGUCGCCGGCGACGGUGGUAGCUUAAACCUAAAUUCCAACCAUUAUUGGAUGCACAAGGAUGCGCUGAGCAUGAAUUUGACAAUGGAUUUGGGAGAUGGUUACUGAAUUUUCCAAAUCGAACGAACCGGUGGAAGAACCCUAACUCCCUAAAUUCAAAUUAAAUGGAAACGGGCAAGAAUUAGCCUCUACCACCAUGAGGGUUUGAUUCCCUGGCCUAGAUACUACACUUUGGUACGCUCGAGGCAAGAAAAUACCACAGAAGAGAAACGGACUUACCGGAGAAGACGAUCGGAAACUUCAGCAAGUGUAGGUUUCAUGAUUGUGCCUUGGCAAGGUUUGAUGCAAGGUUUGAUGCAAGGUUUUGCACUUGGUUCUGCUGGGACCUGUUUUCAUUAUGACUUUGCUAUUCGAAUGGAGUGGUUAGUGAUUCUGCCAGGUGUGGCUUUUGUACUGCAGGGUGCUGGUGGGAUUCACUUGGAUAGCACAAAUCUGGCUUGGCCUGUGUCUUGCUUCAGGUGACAACUUAUGGCCCCGCGUGGUGAUGGUGAUACUUGCACUUGUCAUCUAGCGAAUCUUUGACCUUUUGUAUUGCAGCCAAUCUAAGUCAUGAUGGCAUAGUCAUGUUGUUGCAUAGCUUGCGCAUUAGAGAUGGAUUGAACUGCAAUCAUGUGAAAUCAGGGUGGUGACUUACUGAACCUGUUGUAGGUAAUGUUUUGAUGUGCUUACUGCGGUAAUUUGUAGGUUUAGGUCGAUGAUUAGGUUGUGCACAACCUGUCUAAUUCCAACUUUGUUGAACUCCAACUAGGCAUAUUAGUUGUGAUGUCAAUUGUUGUUAGCAUUGGUGCAGAUCGAGACAAGUGGUUUAGCUUGUUAAUACAUCCCCUGUCAUAUUGCAAUGGUUUAAGCGUGGUGCAACUGUGAUGCAGUAGGUUAUUGUCAAUUUGGACUAUUAAUUCGUGAGUUGUUGUUGAACUGUUAAUUGUUAGUAAUGGACCUUUAAUUAUGAUUGUACAUAUGCCCUGAGUUGCUGAAUUGCUUGAUAAUCCAAUGAGUUGCUCAAUUGCAGUGUGCUGGCCUAGCCAUGGUCGACAGCAUGUGCUGUUUUUAAUGCCUUGGUUCAUGAUUUUUUGCUGGCCAGUCUUGUACCUGAUGACCUGUACUGGUGCUUCCUUACUUGAUGCAUGAUGCUGGGUUAUUAUAGCAUGUGCACAGGACAUGGUAAGGACCUUGUUGAUGUUUGCAGGUCCUGUGAAGGGCUUCUGACUUGGUUCAAAGAAAGCCAUGACUUAUGCUAGAUGUGCUUUAAGUCAUAGUUCCUUUGCAAGUAUGCAUCCUAUUGAUCAUGCAUGCAUUGAUUCAUGCAGUCUUGGUUCACCUCAACAUUUCAUGGCUUCCUCUGCAGUUUGACAUUAAUUAUGUUUGAUGGCAAGUAUGCAGUUUAUAAUCAGCUGGAAUGGUUCAUCGGUUUGUAGUUUUCACAACAUGCUUAGCUUAUUGAUUUCACAUUGUUGUAGGGUGUUAGCAUUGAUACAGGUUUGUGAUAGGUUGACCUGAUGCAAUCCAAUUGUGAUUUUUGCACUGCAGGUUUUGACACAUUAUUGUUGAUCCAUGAUGUAUUUCGGGUUUGAUCUUGGCAAUGAUGACAUUCCUUGGUUUGAUUCAAAAUAUUGGCACAGUUUCGAGUGUGUUACAGGAUUGGUUCCUGUUGGAUGCUGCAGAUGCUACUGGUGCAUAACUCACUUGACCACUCCUCUCACUUGCAGGUUUGGUGGAACUUAGCCUCAUGAUUUAAACUGAUUUCUUAACUGCAGGAUGCAAGCCAAUGAUGUGUUAUUGCAGGUAUUGGUCUUUGAUUCUGAAAUAACUUUGGUGUGCUAACCUAAUGGAAUCCAGGUGUCUGAAUUUUCUUUGUAGAAGGCUCAUGGAGCAAGGGUAGUGGCUGAUAUCCAAGGUCUGUUUCUACUUGCCAAUUGGCUUCUUUGCAAGUUGCUGGAGGCAUAAUGGUCAUCAAGGUUGUCUCAUUGGUCAUGUCUUUCACUCAGGUUUAAUUCUAGCUGCUAGAGCCUUCAUGAUCAUUUCUCCUCAUCAUGAGUUCAAAGCCAAAUGCAAUGAAUAUGUCCAACAAAGGAAAGUCAUGCUUGCAUAGGCAAAAGUGACCAAGUCAUGGUAGGGUAAGUGUGGUCUUGACAAUGGGCCAAGUUACUUGCAAAUGAAGAAAACAAACAAAAGCAUAUCAAAUCAAGACCUAUGGAUGAUGUAUCAAGGCCAAGUGGGUUAGAUUAGAUUUUUGAUGGUGAAAAAUAGGAAGGUUGACUUUGGUCAAAGUUGACAAAAAGUAAACUGUUGACCAAAGUCAACAAAAGGUCAAAAUUCAAAUUUCUUUGUAAAUGGACAAUGUAUCGAUGAUCAUGAUGAAAUUUAGGGUUUAUGGAUUUUGGGUUGACUUUGGUCAAAGUUGACCAAAAAGUCAACUGUUGACCAAAGUCAACUGUUGACCAAAGUCAACAAAUUGGUCAAAAUGUCAAACUUUGUAUUUUCUUAUGUUGAAUCACAUGGAAUAGUUUAAAAUGA